GACGGAGGGUGCAAACGUUGUUCGGAUUCACUGGGCAUAAAGCGCACGUAGUCGGCUCGUUUAGUCAGACGUGAAAUCCCCCGGCUCAACCGGGGAAUGGCAUCUGAUACUGGCGAGCUCGAGGUCGAUAGGGGUGAGCGGAACUCCAGGUGGAGCGGUGAAAUGCGUUGAUAUCUGGAGGAACACCGGUGGCGAAAGCGGCUCACUAGGCCGACACUGACGCUAGGGUGCGAAAGCUAGGGUAGCAAACGGG
rnacentral:rRNA from 1 species